rnacentral:rRNA from 1 species
UACGGAGGGAGCUAGCGUUGUUCGGAAUUACUGGGCGUAAAGCGCACGUAGGCGGCUUUGUAAGUUAGGGGUGAAAGCCCGGGGCUCAACUCCGGAACUGCCUUUAAGACUGCAUCGCUUGAAUCCAGGAGAGGUGAGUGGAAUUCCGAGUGUAGAGGUGAAAUUCGUAGAUAUUCGGAAGAACACCAGUGGCGAAGGCGGCUCACUGGACUGGUAUUGACGCUGAGGUGCGAAAGCGUGGGGAGCAAACAGG